rnacentral:rRNA from 1 species
AGUGAACGCUGGCGGCGUGCCUAAUACAUGCAAGUCGAACGGAGUGGCGCACGGGUGAGUUAUAUAUAGCUAAUCUGCCCCUUGCUGGAGGACACCAGUUAGAAAUGACUGCUAAUACCCCAUAGCAAGGGAUGAGGCUAUAUCGUAUCAGCUAGUCGGUGGGGUAACGGCCUACCGAGGCUAUGACGCGUAACUGGUCUGAGAGGAUGAUCAGUCACAGUGGAACUGAGACACGGUCCAAAAUCCUACGGGAGGGAGCAGUAGGGAAGAUUGCGCAAUGGGAGAGACCCUGACACAGCAACGCCGCGUGAAGGACGACACUUUUCGGAGCGUAAACUCCUUGUGUUAGGGAAGCUGUACGUAACGAAUGAGCACCGGCUAACUCCGUGCCAGCAGCCGCGGUAAUUC